rnacentral:rRNA from 1 species
GACGUAGGGCGCGAGCGUUGUCCGGAUUUAUUGGGCGUAAAGAGCUCGUAGGCGGUCUGUCGCGUCUGCUGUGAAAACUCAGGGCUUAACCCUGAGCUUGCAGUGGGUACGGGCAGACUAGAGUGCGGUAGGGGAGACUGGAAUUCCUGGUGUAGCGGUGAAAUGCGCAGAUAUCAGGAGGAACACCGGUGGCGAAGGCGGGUCUCUGGGCCAAUACUGACGCUGAGGAGCGAAAGCGUGGGGAGCGAACAGG